rnacentral:rRNA from 1 species
CGCUACGGCAAGCUUAAAUACAUGCAGUCGAGGGGCAGCACGGGUAGCAAUACCUGGUGGCGACCGGCAAACGGGUGCGGAACACGUACGCAACCUUCCCAAAACUGGUGAAUAGCCUUUCGAAAGAGAGAUUAAUACACCGUAACAUGACGAGUAGGCAUCUACUUGUUAUUAUAGUAGCAAUACGGUUUUGGAUGGGCGUGCGCCUGAUUAGGUAGUUGGCGGGGUAACGGCCCACCAAGCCUGCGAUCAGUAACUGGUGUGAGAGCACGACCAGUCACACGGGCACUGAGACACGGGCCCGACUCCUACGGGAGGCAGCAGUAAGGAAUAUUGGUCAAUGGACGCAAGUCUGAACCAGCUAUGCCGCGUGAAGGAUGAAGGUCCUCUGGAUUGUAAACUUCUUUUAUCUGGGACGAAAAAAGCUCUUUCUAGAGCACUUGACGGUACCAGAGGAAUAAGCACCGGCUAACUCCGUGCCAGCAGCCGCGGUAAUACGGAGGGUGCAAGCGUUAUCCGGAUUCACUGGGUUUAAAGGGUGCGUAGGUGGGCAGGUAAGUCAGUGGUGAAAUCUCCGAGCUUAACUCGGAAACUGCCAUUGAUACUAUCUGUCUUGAAUAUUGUGGAGGUAA